CUGGCUGAGCUGUUUGUAUUUGAAUGGGAGGAUUGUUGAUGUUACACUAAUGAGUCAUAACAAAAUCACACGCGCGAAUGGUCUUCCACUGAAUCAUUGUCUUCAUUCAUUGAAAAAGAAAUGACAACUGCUGAUGUGAGGCAAUAGUAUUUGGCAUGUUAACUUGGUGUUUUAGUUUUUUUUUUAAUUAUUAUUUCAAUACAAAUCUUGACUGGGGUUAAUGGGGAACAUACAGCUUUCUUAUUCUUGUGUAACUAUUUUUACAGAAAGAAUGUGCAAGUUUGCUUUCAUUCAAGAAAAAACAUUUUUUUGUGGGGUUGGGGGAUAAGCUCUGAAUUCUUCUAUAUUGAAGUGUUCUAUCU